GGAAGUCUGGUGGAGGAUUAUCUUUAUUUUGAAGAGAAAAAGAAAGCAGAGGUUCCAAUGCUCUGACUUUGU